AGUGAACGCUGGCGGUAGGCCUAACACAUGCAAGUCGAACGGCAGCACAGUAAGAGCUUGCUCUUACGGGUGGCGAGUGGCGGACGGGUGCGGAAUACAUCGGAAUCUACUUUUUCGUGGGGGAUAACGUAGGGAAACUUACGCUAAUACCGCAUACGACCUACGGGUGAAAGCAGGGGAUCUUCGGACCUUGCGCGAUUGAAUGAGCCGAUGUCGGAUUAGCUAGUUGGCGGGGUAAAGGCCCACCAAGGCGACGAUCCGUAGCUGGUCUGAGAGGAUGAUCAGCCACACUGGAACUGAGACACGGUCCAGACUCCUACGGGAGGCAGCAGUGGGGAAUAUUGGACAAUGGGCGCAAGCCUGAUCCAGCCAUACCGCGUGGGUGAAGAAGGCCUUCGGGUUGUAAAGCCCUUUUGUUGGGAAAGAAAAGCAGCAGGUUAACACCCCGCUGUUCUGACGGUACCCAAAGAAUAAGCACCGGCUAACUUCGUG
rnacentral:rRNA from 1 species